rnacentral:snRNA from 1 species
AGAUUUGUGCAGUGGCAGUAUCAUAGCCAGUGAGUUUUACCCAAGGCACAAUUAUUGCUAAUUGAAUAUUUUUUCCAAGAAUAGAAAAAAACUCAAAAGAUUCCAGUUAAGGCUCCAUCAAAAGAGAAGAGAUG